CCAAGAAGACAGGAAAGAGAGGGGAGACAAAGAUGUAAGUCUUGGAUGAAUUUGAAGACCCUAUCCUAGCAUCUAAAACUUAUCUUAAUGCUCUAGUUCAACUCAUUAUUGGAUUUAUAAGUAUUGGUGUUCUUAUUGUUGGGUUAAACAAGAGAAAACAAAACACAAACCUUCAAACCCGAGAGCAUAUUCUGUAAGUUAGAAAAAGAGAGAAAACAUGAGGUUAUAGAAAAUAUUUGUAGGAGGGACUUUACCACAUCAUUAUUCAUAUGUAAACUAUCAUUUCUCGAGUUUUUUUGGAGCGUAUUGGUUAAGGUAAACGACAAAGAGAUGUGUGGAGAUAUAGGAUAUCCGGAGAGAUGAAAGCAGAAAUUUCCUCAAAUAUGGAGGUACAAGACCUCCUUUUUUGUGUGUUGUUCAAGUAUGGAGGUAUAAUACCUUAUGGUAGCUUCAAAUUUCCUCAAAUACUCUUGUAUGAGUAAAACCAAAAAACUUGCUUUUAGUUAGUUUAUGACCAUUAUGCUUUGUUUUGUUUUCAUACAAAGUAUUUCUUAUUGAUUUCAUAUAAAUAAAAUAUGUUCUUAGUAUUCCAUAAAACAAUCCAUGCAUGUCGUCACAAAAGACUAAAAAUAACACUAUAAUACAUGAAAAUCGUCGUUAAACCUUAAAUUGAGAAAAGUGUACAUACAACGUAUGAUUACUUGAUUUUAUGACUUCAAAUCAGUUUAUACAAUAUUUCUUGUAUAAAAACUAAAUGGUUUCGAAUUGGGUUAAAAUAGUGAAGCUUAAAGCUUCAAAAUUUGGUUCCAUGUGUGUGUUAAUUCUAAGGUGUUUUAGUGUGUGUAUGAAUUCAAUGGUUUGUAUGAGUUAUGUGAAAGUAUGUUCAUAUAAAAAUGAGUUUCAUACAGAAAGGAAUUAUUACAUAAGAUUUUAUAUUCAUAUAGUGGUGAGACACAACAUAAAUAAAAGUAUAAUACGAUUUUUAUACUGUAUACAACAAAUCAAGGUAUACUUUAUGUAUAAAUAUCUUGAAUAUGAUUCAUAUUAUUAUUUCUAUAUAAAAAUGAGUUUUAUACAUAUUAAAAUACUUAUAUGUGAGUUCGGGUUAAAAUGAAUGAAAUGAAUAACAUAUGAUUUUUAUACAAAUAUGUAUUUUUAAGACGUAUUGAGAAUACUCAACAAAUGAGUUGAGUAUUUAUAAAAUAAAUAUAUAUGUUUUUGGUAAAAUUGAAGUGAAUACAGAUGUAUACAUAUAUUUUAAAGCUUAGUUUCAAAUAGAAAGGUAAAAUAAUUGUAACAUCCAUAAAAUUCAAGCCAAUUUAAAAUUAUUAAACCAUUCAAAAACCAGUAAUUAUUACAAAGUGUUUUCAAAAUAGUUUCAUGUCAGAGUAUCCCAGAAAUCAAAAUCAUAAAAUAUGAGGAGGUGCACGAUCACGCCUUCACCUUCCUACGAUCAUCUGAAGUGCCUAAAACAAAAUCCAAAACUGUAAGCCCGGAGCUUAGUGAGUUCCCCUAAAAUACACACACAACAAAUAACACACAUAUAAUAAUGGCAUACUAUGGGCCCAAUCAACCAUCGGGUUGGAAUGCCCCAGGCCCUCAACCAUUAGGUUGGAACGCCAAUAUAUUAUGGUUCCAAUCAUCCUCGGGAUGGUGUACCAUCGGCCCAUAACCAUCGGGUUGGAAUGCCCACAUAUUGUGAGUCUAAUCAUCCUCGGGAUGGAAUACUCUUGGCCCACAACCAUCGAGUUGGAAUGCCCUUGUCUGUUGGCUCUCGCACAAAGCAGAUGAGCCUCAACCAUCAAUCAAUCAUGUGCACAUAUAUCAAAUAAUCACAUAACAGUCUACGACAGUCAAACCAAUCUACAGAUCACUAAGCAUAGCAACAUCCUAUCAACCAGGAUACCGAUCUAACAGAUCACACUAACAAUAAAGUAGGAUAACAAUCCAAAGGGCCAGCCUUGGUGCCUUCGACCCUUGAGUAUAGUGAGGAAAACUCACCUCAUAAGUAGCUCGGGAUGAUAAUGUCAAACUCCCCAAAUACAGCUCCAAACUCAAUCACUUACAUCCACCAAUGAUCCACUCCCAUAAAUUUCCAAAUUACUAAAAAUACCCCUAGAAGUCAAACUGGUCAUCCCUUGGUUAAAGUCAAAGUCAACGGUCAAAGGUCAACAGUCCAUGUUGACCUAACUCGUCGAGUGUAACUCACUGACUCGUCGAGUUCCUUCAAAACUCAAGAAAUCGUGAAAACCCUAGUCGACUCGCCGAGUUUCCAGACAACUCAUCGUGUCCAUGCAGUGUCCAGAAUGUUGGGUAAACCCUAACCAACUUGUUGAGUUACCUCUCUAACUCGCCGAGUUCAUGCAAAAUCCAGAAGGCGGGAAACCUUCAUUCAACUUGUCGAGUUGACUAUGAAACUCGUCGAGUUCCUUCAGUCAAUUUCUCAUUGAGAUGCUUUUACGUGAAUCCAAAGCUCCAAAUUGUAGAUCUAGGCUCCUAGGGUGUUUUUAUCACGUAAAGUUUCUAACUUUACGUGCAUGCAAGGCUCCAUGAAGCGAAAACACUCAUAACUAGGUUUAGAAGAAGGUUUUGGACAUGAAGGAGGGCCAAAGCUUCAUAAAGCCUGAGGCUUUAUGUCUAUAAGGGACUAGAGGAGUCCAGAUCUGAAACCAUGCCCUUGUGACAAGCUCAAAUCCGAAAGUGACCCCAUCUUCCACCAAAAUUCCCAUAUUCUCAUAUAAGAAGAGAUCUAACAAAUGGAAGGUCAAGGUAAAUACUUUUUUACCUUCAAAUGCAAGCCAAGACGAUGUAGAUACUGGAUCUACAAGCUUCAUCUCAUUCCAAGCUUCUUCAACAAAUGCACCAAAAACACACUUUAGCCUCUCACACACUCAAUAAUAGGGUUUAGAUCGAUUAGGAUUACUUCUGGCCGUCAAAAGGUGGUAGGGAGGCUGGAGGAAAGGGCUUAAGGUCCUUUAAAUAAGGUGCAAAUGUGACAUCCCUAAUUUCACGGCCAGAAAAGACCGAUUUGUUUAUGGUUUGUUUUAUAAAAUCAGAGUAAUCAUUUGAUUAAAAGAGUUGCGGAAUUUGUUCCCAAAAUAAAAUAUGAUAAAACAAAAUUUAUCAAAUUAUUUCUCAAAGAAAUGUAUUUUCAUUAAAUAACAAAAUCUCGGGAUGUCAUGUUCCGAUACAUACCAAAAGCAUAAACAAUAUAAAAUAGACCUUACAACAAUUAUUUAUAACUACUAAUCUAUAAUCCAAAAUCUCUCAUCAAAUCCACCAACUUAUACCCUUGUUCCAUUACCUGUAAGGCUGUAAUGCAAAGAAAACUGAGUGGGCCAGGCAUAGGAGCCUGGUGAGCAUAUAGGGUUUUCAACCGAUAAUAAUAUAAUUAUUAUAUUUAAUCAUCAAACAAUCAACCCAAUUACCCAUCCCCAUUAUCUUCGUUUAAUCUUCCCUAAAGAUAUUAUCCUAAGGGUCAUGUCCUAUAUCAUAUUUAACUCUCAUCUCCUUACAUCUUAUUUCCUUAUAUGUUUGUUCCUAAGAACUUUUCCUAAGGAUCAUCGCCUACAUCGCAUAGACAAUACUAAUUCGGGGAUCACUCCCUCAAUAUGUGUCUAGUAAGGGUUAGGGUAUCAUCUCAUGAUUACACAGCCACAACAUCGCCUGGAAUCGUAAAUCAUAAUAAGGGUUAGACUAUCAUUGCAUGAAUAUGCAGCCACAACAUCGCCUAGACUCGUAAUUCAUAAUAAGGGUUAGACUAUCAUCGCAUGAAUACGCAGCCAUAACAUCGUCUGGACUCGUAAUUCAUUACCUAUCUAUCAUCACCUAAUUAUCAUCACCAUUAUAUCCUCACCUAUCUCUUAUCACAUUAUUUCAUCACACACCAACUAUUUCAUCUACCCAUGUUCUACCCAACAUAUUUGUAGAUAUAAAUUACAUAUAUAGUUUAAAUCAUAUACAAACCUGUAUAAAACAUUCAUCCAACAUCCAUCUCAAAUAAACAAACAAUAUAUAAACACAUAACACGUAUUUCAUAGCAAAUACUUAAUAUCUAUGUGUUAGAAGAAAGUAACUACACACUCACUUGAUCAGAAGAUGAUCGGACAUCAUUACGGCUCUAAGAGUAGUACUUCUUCGGUGAAACUAGAAGAUCUUCACACACCGGGCUUCUCGCAGGCAGAGCUUCGGCUCGGAAACUCUUUUCUUCUCGGGAUCUUUGGGCUUUGGGACUUGCUUCGUGUCUCGGGAUGAUACUGGGGCUUUGGGGGGUUAAAAUAGGGCUUAGAGAGGGUAUCGGGAGUGGCAGAGAAGAGAUUGAGCAACCAAACUCGGCUACCCCUUGAUUUCUAUUUAUAGGGCCAUUUUUCUGGAUUCACGCCGUGAAUCUCAAAUAUUCACGUUGUGAGUUCAAUAGUCAUCAGGUGCGUCAUCGCAACUUGCAUCUGUCAGGAUCCAGAAGUCAUAAAUACUGAGUUCACGUUGUGAACAUUGUAUUCACGUCGUGAACUCUGACAGUUUUGGGGUUUCGCGCCUUGAACUUCAGAAAAUUAAUAACUUUUGCAUACGAACUCUGUUUUCGACAUUCUUUAUAUCCACGCGUAGGUUAGAUUAUGCUUUACAACUCUCGUUUAGACUUCGUCGGCUAAUUUUGACUUUAUUUUUAUUAUAUUAUUUUUAGUAGGCCGGAACAGGAAAACUCCGUUAGACACUACUAGAAUAUAGGCCUUUAAUGACGUGCAAACCAUGACACGCAGUGAUUUACAAUACGCAAAAGUGUGUGCCCUAAAAAUAAUGUCAUCUCUUCUAAAAUUUGAAGGAUUAAGGGCGCACAUUUUUGCGCGCCCUUAAAAUUCGUGUCAGAACGAAAAAAGAAAAAACACGGAGGGCACUCAGCAUAAAAGGUGUGUCGUCUAAUCACGUCGCUUUAUAAUUUUUAAAAUGAACGCGCGCUUAGACUAUUUAUCUUAUCAAAAAAUUCACGGGGACCAUUUUCUAGGGUUUUGUCAAUGAGGCUCUCUACCACGUUCUACAUCAACUCUCCUCCUGAAACCUUCAUUCCAUCCCUCCAUUCUAUCUGCAAACUCUAGGCCAUCGCCACCACCAUUGAACCCUAAAAUCACACUCCUCCUUCAUCUACCUCUGCACACUCUCCAUCCAUCGGAUCGACCUUAAUUCUCUCCCUCCAAUUUACAAACCCCUUCUACCCACCGAUAAUCACACUCACCCUGAAUUACUUGCAUUCCUUCUCUCUUAAAAACCUAAUCCAACAUAUCACACUCCAUAUAUAUUGUUCAACGACACCUUUCACAGACCAUCCAUCUGCUUAUCUCGAUCGUUGGCUCCUUAAGCGGUGAGUCCUCACUGCUCGCCGCCGUUAGCCAUCGCUUCCCUGUGAAACCACCAGCGGCCGGAUCUUCGUCAAAACCUGACAAUUCAUCUCCUCUAUUCAGUUUUUGUCUACAUCUUCUUCCUCGGUUCCAUAUCCACAAUCACAUACAGCACCUACCAGGGCUUCUAUGGAAUACUAGUCAAGUUUUUCCCCUCCAUGAAAUCCCUAAUCUUCUCCUUCUUCCUACUCGUGUCGACCAUAAUUGUUGCUCAGCUCAUCCUAUCCCUCAUCUCGCUUCCGUUCUCCUAUUAUUUCUGGUAAUCAUCAAGAUUGGGGAAAACCUAGGGUUUGUAAUUGAAUACGACUCGAAUUACUUUAUCACGCCAUUUGUGUUGAUGGGUGCAGCGCUAGCUUUUUUCCUAAUCUAUUUCCAAGUGAACUGGUCACUAGCUUGUGUGGUGGUUGUGGCGGAAUCAAAAUGGGGGUUUCAACCAUAGUUAAGCAAAGCAUAUAGACAUCAUUACCACUUGGCCAAUUCCCAUGGCCCUCCACCCGCUGGUUCUAAACCCUGAAGACACGACCACCACCACCACCAUUACUAAACCAAUAGAAGAACUUUCAACAAUGGUGAAACCUGAUCAGGCCUUAUACCUGAUAACAUUAAAGUUUGAAGAGGUUGUUUAUAAAGUCAAAAUUGAAGGUUCAAGAGUCGGAUCUACCACAUGUUGGAUAAAGUGAUCUUGCUCUCUAAAGGCUCAUAGAUUUACUAUGGUUCUGCUUCCACAUCUUUGGACUAUUUUUCUUCAAUUGGAUUUUCCAUGUCUGUUACAGUCAAACCGACUGACCUUUUUCUUGAUCUUACUAAUGGAAGGAAUUGCACCUGAUUCAAUGCAUGAUUAUGAGCAAGGUGAAAACACGAACGAUGAGAAGAAAUCAAUAAGGCAACAACUCAUCAGUUGUUAUGAAACAAGACUGAAAACUGAUGUAUGUGAUUUGGACGUUGGCAAUUACAGUCCUGGAAAAGAAACUUUACCAAGAAACUGUGUGGAAUCAGAGCAAUGGUGUACAAGCUGGUGGCAUCAGUUCAAGGUGUUGGUUCUCAGAGGACUUAAGGAGAGGAGAUUUGAAGCUUUCAAUAAGCUUAGAAUCUUUCAAGUCAUAAGUGUUGCUAUGUUGGCUGGACUCCUAUGGUGAUUCUGAUUGGGUUUUGCUCUGUUGCGUUAUCUUUGAUGUUGUUGUUUGGGAUUCUGAUUUCGAUUGGGUUUUGCUCUUGAGUAUGUCAGCUUGCCUUUUGAUGAUGGGAAAAUCCCUCAUAUUUUUAGUAUUGUCCCAGCUUCAUGAAUGAUGAUCGAGGAAGCCAGGAGAAAUCAAGGUAGCAAAGCAAGCCAUGCUUCAUGGAGAAAUUAGGAUGAUCUUAAUGAAUAUAUUUGCAGUCAGGAGAUGUCAAGAUCACGUUUUAGUGUGGAGCUUGAUGCUGCAAAUGCAGUAGGGAUGUUUAAAUGGCAAGAAAAUAAUCUCGUUUACUGUUGACACGUUGAAGCAGCAGUUGCGUUUUGAGCCCACUGCUUACAGUUGUUGCGACAGUAUAACAUGUUCUACUUGGAGUGCCUCACAUUUCCUAUAUUUUUUGUUGGAUUUAAUCUUCCCAAGGGCAGUUUGUUAUAUUGGGCAGCCAACAGCUCCGUAACCCUUGUUUAGUUGAGGCAAAAAAGCACUUGCAGAUUUACUAUAGAUGCAAUCAGUUCAUAUGGUCUUCUAUGGUUCAUAAAUGAACUAGGCAUACAAGUGAUGGAUUGGAAAAAAAAAUUGUUACCUGCUGUAGAUGGUCUUCUUAUGGUUUAUUUAUUUAUGAUAUAAUGGGGAUGAUUAUGAUAGGAGCGGGGUCUUCUAGGACAUCUGGAGUGAGACGACGCAGCAUAAUUAAAAGGAUUGGAAAGGAGAAAGACUCUUAUAUGCUCGAGUCCAUAACAGCCUGCCUUACUACUUGUUGGCUUUUGUAACCAGCAAGCAUUCAUGGAUUAGGGUUUCGUGAAUAGAAACUGGGAAAAAUGGGCAUGUAAAAAUGUUGGUUUUGAUGGUGGUUCAAUCAAUGUCAUUUAGUAAUAUUUGGAAAUACAGCCUCUUUAUGUGGUAGUAAUCCUUCUGAGGGGGUGUUUGUUGGGCUGCUUCUUUCAAUGUCAUUAACAACAGUGGUUUUGAAGUUUUUGAUGGAAAAGAGUAGUGUUAAUGCUCUUCAUAGAAAAGUAUGUUGGUAGUUUAGGAAAUUUGGCGAAUAAUUUAGUUAAUUAUAUAAAAAAAUGUUGAAAUGUUACAUUUGUCUAUUAUUAGAAUGAUUAUUUGUAUGACAUUAAAUUUUGUGCAAUGUAUUGUAUUUUUUGUAUUGUGAGA